UACGUAGGGGGCUAGCGUUGUCCGGAAUCAUUGGGCGUAAAGCGCGUGUAGGCGGCUUUGCAAGUCGGGUGUGAAAGCCCUCGGCUCAACCGAGGAAGUGCGCCCGAAACUGCAGAGCUUGAGUACCGGAGAGGAUGGCGGAAUUCCCCAAGUAGAGGUGAAAUUCGUAGAUAUGGGGAGGAACACCGGUGGCGAAGGCGGCCAUCUGGACGGAUACUGACGCUGAGACGCGAAAGCGUGGGUAGCAAACAGG
rnacentral:rRNA from 1 species